rnacentral:tRNA from 1 species
GCGGGGGUAGCCAAGCCAGGUCAACGGCGCUAGAUUGAGGGUCUAGUCCUUAGUGGUCCCUGAGUUCAAAUCUCAGCCCCCGCA